rnacentral:rRNA from 1 species
UAGAGACUCAGAGCUGCAUAUCAAUAAGCGGAGGAAAAGAAACUAACAUAGGAUUCCCCUCAGUAACGGCGAGUGAAGCGGGAAGAGCUCAAAUUUGAAAUCUUCAAGGUUCUACCUUGACGAAUUGUAGUUUAAAGAAGUGUUUUCGGUUAGAGGAGUUUGGUAAAAGUUCUUUGGAAUAGGACAUCAUAGAGGGUGAGAAUCCCGUAUUUGACCAUUAUUUCCAGCUGUGUGAUACACUUUCAAAGAGUCGGAUUGUUUGGGAAUGCAGUCCAAAAUGGGUGGUAAAUUUCAUCUAAAGCUAAAUAUUGGCGAGAGACCGAUAGCGAACAAGUACCGUGAGGGAAAGAUGAAAAGAACUUUGAAAAGAGAGUUGAAACAGUACGUGAAAUUGUCAAAAGGGAAGCGUUUGACACCAGUGUUGUUUUUCUCGAAAAUCAAUUAACGAAUGGUUUAUUUUUGAGAAGUUAUGACUUCAUCAGCUUGCUUCUCUCUUUAUGUACUUUCUUAAUGCACUUUUCGUUUAACAAGUCAACAUCAAUUUCUUUUGUUGUAAAAGGGUCAUGAGGAAGGUGGCUUUCUUUUCGGAGAAAGUGUUUAUAGCCUUUGGACUCCUGCAAGUCGGAGAGACUGAGGUCUGCAGCGUAGAUCCUUCUGGGAUUAGAUUACAUUUGUGCUAAGUUAUAGCCUUUCAUAGACAACUUGUUGACUAUGAUCAGUCAUGUAGCUUACUCGCUUAUGCUAUUUUACCUACGCUUAGGAUGUUGAUAGUCACAGCGUGUAC